rnacentral:rRNA from 1 species
UACGUAGGGUGCGAGCGUUAAUCGGAAUUACUGGGCGUAAAGCGUGCGCAGGCGGUUAUGUAAGACAGGUGUGAAAUCCCCGGGCUUAACCUGGGAACUGCAUUUGUGACUGCAUAGCUAGAGUACGGUAGAGGGGGAUGGAAUUCCGCGUGUAGCAGUGAAAUGCGUAGAGAUGCGGAGGAACACCGAUGGCGAAGGCAGCCCCCUGGGCUAACACUGACGCUCAGGCACGAAAGCGUGGGGAGCAAACAGG